AUUAAUCCAAGGGAUGUGUCCAACCCCGAACAGUCGUGUCUCCUCUCUCUGUCUAUUGCCAACAGGCACCUGUUCUGGAGGGAUGCCUCCGAACAGACACCUCUUCUUCGCACCUCUUCCAGAUGUAUAUAUACUUGAGAAUCAAUAGAAACAGGAUUAAUCGUCCAUUCACUUUCUUUCAAUCUCGUUUUACUCUAAC
rnacentral:lncRNA from 1 species